rnacentral:rRNA from 1 species
UAGCCUAACGGCUGAACCAGCAACUUGGAGGAAUGGAUAGCGAAAGCUAAUUGUACUAAUGGUACAAUAACGAUUUAAUCGUAUAAAAUUCUGGGUAGAAUUAUGAUAAUGACAUUGUUUACCUAUAUAUCUUGACCAAAUUACGUGCCAGCAGUCGCGGUAAUACGUAGAAGAUUAGUGUUAUUCAUCUUUAAUAGGUUUAAAGGGUACCUAGACAGCAAAUCAAGCCUUCAAAAGGGACUAGUUUGCUAGAGUUACUUGUGAGGGGGCAUAAAAGUACUAUCGGUGUAGAGAUAAAAUUCGUUGAUACCCCUUUUCGUAUGAAAAUUAAUGGCACAGAUUUAGGCAAAAGCAUCCCCUUAUGUGAUAACUUUGUGUAGCGAACAGGAUUAGAUACCCCAAUAGUCGAAGCAGAAAAUGAUGAGUGUCAUAGAUUAGAUUUAUAUUUAUUCUAUAAAUGAAAGUGUAAGCACUCCACCUCAAGAGUAAUUUGGCAACAUUGGAACUGAAAUCAUUAGACCGUUUCUGAAACCAGUAGUGAAGUAUGUUGUUUAAUUAGAUAACACGCAAAAAACCUUACCACAAUUUGAAUAUUUACAAGCGUUGCAUGGUUGUCUUCAGUUAAUGUCGUGAGACUAUGGUUAGUUCCAUUAAUUAACGUAAACCCUUGCUUUAUUUUUAUAUAAGGUUGUCCCCCGCUACAUUGGAUAUGAUAACAGGGAUCAAGAC